rnacentral:rRNA from 1 species
UACGGGGGGGGCAAGCGUUGUUCGGAAUUACUGGGCGUAAAGGGCUCGUAGGCGGCCAACUAAGUCAGACGUGAAAUCCCUCGGCUUAACCGGGGAACUGCGUCUGAUACUGGAUGGCUAGAGGUUGGGAGAGGGAUGCGGAAUUCCAGGUGUAGCGGUGAAAUGCGUAGAUAUGACAUAGAACACCCAUUGCGAAGGCAGCUAACUACGCGAUUAUUGACGCUGAUGCACGAAAGCGUGGGGAUCAAACAGG